UUUGUUCAGGAGGAAAGGUUUUUCGUUAAUACGCUGAACUCAUGACGGUACUGUAAGAAUAAGCACCGGCUAACUCCGUGCCAGCAGCCGCGGUAAUACGGAGGGUGCGAGCGUUAAUCGGAAUUACUGGGCGUAAAGCGUACGCAGGCGGUUAUGUAAGCCAGAUGUGAAAUCCCCGGGCUCAACCUGGGAACUGCAUUUGGAACUGCCAAACUAGAGUAGUGAUAGAGGGGGAUAGAAUUUCAGGUGUAGCGGUGAAACGACGUAGGUAUGUGAAGGAACACCGAUGGCGAAGGCAACCACCUGGGUCAACACUGACGCUCAUGUACGAAAG
rnacentral:rRNA from 1 species